UCCCCUUAAUCCCCUCUUCUUCCUCUCUCUUCUCACCCUCUCUCACUCUCUGACCUAAGCCCCUCGCUCCGCCUGCUGCCGCCGCCGGAAUUCGCCAUCGGUGGCGGAGCACCUCCAAACACCCCCAAAUCAUCACCAUACACUCCCCUCAAUCUACUCUUUCCAAAUCUCCUACCCAAAUCCCUCAAAACCCACUCAAAUUCCACGAGUUUUAGAUCUAAGAAACCCCACAACCCAUUUUUUUUUUAAAUCGUGAAGAUUGAGCCAUCUCCUCUACCUAAUACCCAUAUGUAGGGAUAGAGCUCGGUGUGGGCUACCAACGGACUUGUCCUCGACCCGAAAUUCUGGUGACUAGAUUACGGCGGGUUGCCAACAACCACCAAAAAUGGCGAAUCUCUUUGUUUUUGUCUAUAUUCGGACCUAGAGCGAGAUUUUACUGUUGAUUACAUUGAAAUUGAACUCCGGUUCACCAGAGUUUAAAUGUUUCAGUGUUUAUCAACAAUAAGAGCUUGCUCGGGAUUGAACACUUCUGGAACUGCCACCACUGCCACUGUUCCGCCAUUGCCCGAGUGCUCGAGUUUGAUUUGUAAUAGCAAUGAGUGAUGGUUGGAGCACGUUUAUAUUAUUUAAGCAUCUUUAAAGGAGUUUGCCAAAAGUUCUACUUUUGAAUCCAGCUUGGGGAUCAUAGUGCUAAAUCCAUGACUUUGCUGCUUUGUUUUUUCUCUGUAGUAUUUUUUCCCCUUCUUUUAAAUAGUAUUUUUUCAAUAUAAUCUUGGCAAUAUUUUAGAAAAGGAAAUAGUAUGUUAAAUAUUUAAUGAAGACUUUGGAGUGGACAGAAGCUAUGGAGUUUGUGGAAAAGAGUCUUGUUUGGCUUAAGAUCUCUGCCAUUUUGCUUGCUGGAAGUUGGAAUUAAUAUCAUCAAAGAAUCACAUAAUGAUCUAGUUUUAUUAUUCCCCUACAGUAGCAAUGUUAUUUUCGGCUUUAGUUGAUUUCUCGUUACCCAAUUGUUCGUUCUAGAUUUUAUGUUUCUUUUACUAGUCCCCUUUAGUACUACUUUAGUUAGUGAAAGCUGAAAUUUUUCUUUCUUCCAAGUCACAUGGAAAUAGUGUGGGCUGUUUGUACAGUUGUUAAGCUAUUAGCUCAUAUCAGCUAAUGAGUUACAUUUAUGUUUAA